rnacentral:rRNA from 1 species
UACGUAGGGUGCAAGCGUUAAUCGGAAUUACUGGGCGUAAAGCGUGCGCAGGCGGUUGUGCAAGACCGAUGUGAAAUCCCCGGGCUUAACCUGGGAAUGGCAUUGGUGACUGCACGGCUAGAGUGUGUCAGAGGGGGGUAGAAUUCCACGUGUAGCAGUGAAAUGCGUAGAGAUGUGGAGGAAUACCGAUGGCGAAGGCAGCCCCCUGGGUUAACACUGACGCUCAUGCACGAAAGCGUGGGGAGCAAACAGG